rnacentral:rRNA from 1 species
UCCUGAAGCCUGGAGAGAUCCGGGUGUGCCCGAAAGGGAACGGGAACACAGGUGCUGCAUGGCUGUCGUCAGCUCGUGUCGUGAGAUGUUGGGUUAAGUCCCGCAACGAGCGCAACCCUUGUCAUUAGUUGCUACAUUUAGUUGGGCACUCUAAUGAGACUGCCGGUGACAAACCGGAGGAAGGUGGGGAUGACGUCAAGUCCUCAUGGCCCUUAUGGGUAGGGCUUCACACGUAAUACAAUGGUCGGUACAGAGGGUUGCCAAGCCGCGAGGUGGAGCCAAUCCCAGAAAGCCGAUCGUAGUCCGGAUCGCAGUCUGCAACUCGACUGCGUGAAGUCGGAAUCGCUAGUAAUCGCGGAUCAGCAUGUCGCGGUGAAUACGUUCCCGGGUCUUGUACACACCGCCCGUCACACCAUGGGAGCGGGUUUCACCAGAAGCCGGUCGCCUAACCGCAAGGGGGGCGCCGACCACGGUGAGAUUCGUGACUGGGGUGAAGUCGUAACAAGGUAACC